AUCCCUGUGGCUCAGUUGGUAGAGCAUGGUGUGUGCAAUGCCAGGGUUGUGGGUUCAAUUCCCACGGGGGGCC
rnacentral:tRNA from 1 species